rnacentral:rRNA from 1 species
GCAGUCGGACGGGAUCCAUUGAUAGCUUGCUAUCAAUGGUGAGAGUGGCGCACGGGUGCGUAACGCGUGAGCAACCUACCUCCAUCAGGGGGAUAGCCUCUCGAAAGAGAGAUUAACACCGCAUAAUAUCAACAGUUCGCAUGUUCAGUUGAUUAAAUAUUUAUAGGAUGGAGAUGGGCUCGCGUGACAUUAGCUAGUUGGUAGGGUAACGGCUUACCAAGGCGACGAUGUCUAGGGGCUCUGAGAGGAGAAUCCCCCACACUGGUACUGAGACACGGACCAGACUCCUACGGGAGGCAGCAGUAAGGAAUAUUGGUCAAUGGGCGGAAGCCUGAACCAGCCAUGCCGCGUGCAGGAUGACUGCCCUAUGGGUUGUAAACUGCUUUUGUCCAGGAAUAAACCUAAAUACGAGUAUUUAGCUGAAUGUACUGGAAGAAUAAGGAUCGGCUAACUCCGUGCCAGCAGCCGCGGUAAUACGGAGGAUCCGAGCGUUAUCCGGAUUUAUUGGGUUUAAAGGGUGCGUAGGCGGCCUGUUAAGUCAGGGGUGAAAUACGGUGGCUCAACCAUCGCAGUGCCUUUGAUACUGAUGGGCUUGAAUCCAUUUGAAGUGGGCGGAAUAAGACAAGUAGCGGUGAAAUGCAUAGAUAUGUCUUAGAACUCCGAUUGCGAAGGCAGCUCACUAAGCUGGUAUUGACGCUGAUGCACGAAAGCGUGGGGAUCGAACAGGAUUAGAUACCCUGGUAGUCCACGCCCUAAACGAUGAUAACUCGAUGUUGGCGAUAGACAGCCAGCGUCUUAGCGAAAGCGUUAAGUUAUCCACCUGGGGAGUACGCCCGCAAGGGUGAAACUCAAAGGAAUUGACGGGGGCCCGCACAAGCGGAGGAGCAUGUGGUUUAAUUCGAUGAUACGCGAGGAACCUUACCCGGGCUUGAAAGUUAGUGAAGGUAGCAGAGACGCUACCGUCCUUCGGGACACGAAACUAGGUGCUGCAUGGCUGUCGUCAGCUCCUGCCCCUGAGGUGUUGGGGUUAAUUCCCGCAACGAGGGCAACCCC